rnacentral:rRNA from 1 species
GACGAACGCUGGCGGCGUGCUUAACACAUGCAAGUCGAGCGAUGAAGUUUCUUCGGAAAUGGAUUAGCGGCGAACGGGUGAGGAACACGUGAAGAAUCUGCCCUCCACUUUGGGAUAACACAGGGAAACCUGUGCUAAUACCGAAUAUUGAAACAUAAGUGGCAUCACUGAGUUUUGAAAGAAUUUCGGUGGAGGAUGACUUCGCGGCCUAUCAGCUAGUUGGUGAGGUAAUGGCUCACCAAGGCAACGACGGGUAGCCGGCCUGAGAGGGCGACCGGCCACACUGGGACUGAGACACGGCCCAGACUCCUACGGGAGGCAGCAGUGGGGAAUAUUGGGCAAUGGAGGAAACUCUGACCCAGCGACGCCGCGUGCGGGAUGAAGGCCUUCGGGUUGUAAACCGCUUUCAGUAGGGAAGAAGCGAAAGUGACGGUACCUACAAAAGAAGCACCGGCUAACUAUGUGCCAGCCGCCGCAGUAA